rnacentral:rRNA from 1 species
AGUGAACGCUGGCGGUAGGCCUAACACAUGCAAGUCGAACGGCAGCACAGUAAGAGCUUGCUCUUACGGGUGGCGAGUGGCGGACGGGUGAGGAAUACAUCGGAAUCUACUUUUUCGUGGGGGAUAACGUAGGGAAACUUACGCUAAUACCGCAUACGACCUACGGGUGAAAGCAGGGGAUCUUCGGACCUUGCGCGAUUGAAUGAGCCGAUGUCGGAUUAGCUAGUUGGCGGGGUAAAGGCCCACCAAGGCGACGAUCCGUAGCUGGUCUGAGAGGAUGAUCAGCCACACUGGAACUGAGACACGGUCCAGACUCCUACGGGAGGCAGCAGUGGGGAAUAUUGGACAAAGGGCGCAAGCCUGAUCCAGCCAUACCGCGUGGGUGAAGAAGGCCUUCGGGUUGUAAAGCCCUUUUGUUGGGAAAGAAAAGCAGCAGGUUAAUACCCCGCUGUUCUGACGGUACCCAAAGGAUAAGCACCGGCUAACUUCGUG